CCUGACUUGAACCUUGAGGUGACUCUAACCCUGGCUGACAGCUUGACUGCAGUCUUUUGCAAAACUCCCAGCCAGAGGUCUCAGCUAAGCUGUCCUGGAUUCCUGAUGUACAGAAAAGAUCGUGAGCCUCAUUGCCUCCCUGCCUGAGAUGAGUGUUUCCAUCUGGACUGGACCAUUCCAUGCAGCCUGGGAGACUCCUUAUCUCUAAGCAUUCCAGUUGGCUUUUGAGUGGAUAAUUGUGGCAGUGAGAGCACUGACGUUGGAAACAACUAGUGCCCGUUUGGAUUACUUAAAACACAACCAUGAAAAGAAAUACGUGUGAUUUGCUUUCUCGGAGCAAGAGUGCCUCUGAGGAAACACUGCAUUCCAGUAAUGAAGAGGAAGACCCUUUCCGGGGAAUGGAACCCUAUCUUGUGCGGAGACUUUCAUGCCGAAAUAUUCAGCUUCCUCCUCUUGCCUUCAGACAGUUGGAACAAGCUGACUUGAAAAGUGAAUCAGAGAACAUUCCACGACCCACCAGCCUCCCUCUGAAGAUCCUGCCACUGAUUGCUAUCACUUCUGCAGAUUCCAGUGGGUGAGUGCCCUCGGGUGACAUUUCCCUGUUUUAUAUUUUUGAUGACGAUUGUUAUCUGUGGUCUUCUGAGUUUUUCUGGAUCAUUGCUUGAUUUGAGUAGGAUGACAAUAGUGUUUUGGGAGUCCAGGGGGGGAAAAAGGAUGAUUUUUCUCAGGUAACAUCUCUACUCUGCAGGAUGAAGCAUUUUAGUCCAUUAUUUUACAAGAAGGCAUUGAAAAUGUAUUGGUGAAAGCUAAUGAGCAUCCAGGCAAAGGGAAUUAUACAUGGAAAAUUAAUAUUGGAUAUUUGUAAUUUAAUACAAGGAUUGUUAACAAAUGAGAACUAAUGGACAAAUUACUGUGUAGGCAUACAUAUGUGGAAACAGCAGGCAGUGCUCAUUGAUGCAAAACGAACUUGGAAUCAAGAAGAGAUUGCACUGUAAUUAGAAUAAAAAGAAAUAUGCAAUUAUAUUCCUGAGCUUAAUAAUUUGGCCUUUGACACUUUGAGGUGUUACUUACCAUAAUACUGUUUUAGUUCUCAACAUAAGGCUAUCUAUUUAGUGUUAGUUCUUAUGAAAGGAUCAGCCAAGGUCACAUCCCUAUCAAAUAACUUUCUACUUCAUAGGUUUUUUUUUUUUCUUUUUCUUGCUAUUUACCAGUACAUUUUUUACUCUUAAUAGCAACAUAAAAGCAGGUUAAAAAAUGUAAAAGAAAACGAGGAGAGUGGGCACAUUCAUUAUUUACUCUGGCCAGCUGCAUUUUUAAGAAGCUUGGAUAGGAAAAAAAGGUGGGGGGAGGAAAUGAAACCUAGUGGCUCACACAGACAGACAAUUGAGCAUUUAAUAAGACUUACAUGAACAAAUCUAUUUAUGCUACAAAUGUGAUUAUUUUUCAUUCUCUGCUUAGUUAAAGGGAUUUUUAGGGGUGGUACCUUUUGUAUUUUGUAGUGAAAUCCAAAAGGUACCAUCCCAAAAAAUCAAGUGCUUGCCUAGCACAUGUGAGGCACUGGGUUCAAUCCUCAGCACUACAUAAAAAUAAAUAAAACAAAGGUAUUGUGUCCAUCUACAACUAAAAAUAUUUGUAAAAGGGAAGUUGUGCUAAAAUAUUUGGCCAGUAACUUGACUCUAAGAUACUGAAUUUAGCUGUUUAGAUUAUUAUAGACCCAUCCAAAGAACUUUUGUUAUUAAAAGACACAGGUCAUUACUACUAGGUAAAUAAAAAUGCAACAAAUUCUUACCUUGAAGCAAAGAAAAGAGGAGCCCCCAGAGCUCAUCAGUUGGUCGUAUUAUUGGCUUUGAUUAUGGCAAAAGAAUUUAAAGCAAAAGGAAAGGGCACACAUGGCAAAAUCUGCAGAAAACAGAUGCAAACUCCCAAAAGCUACUCUCCAAGUGGAGUAAAACAGGAUGCAUUUAAUUCCUCCAAUACUGAGUAGUAACAAUGUGAAAGGUUUUCAUCAGGGAUGUCUUUUACCAGGGCAGCCUACCAGGAACUCAGUGCCUGGAGUUUUUAUUAGGAAGAGGUUAGCUAGGUACCUUCUGACUAGAAUGUACCAAAAUUCCAGACUUCUAAGGAGGAAAGUAUGUGUUCAACAUAAACCACAUUGUUUGCAUAAGCAAUUGGGACACAAUGAGCCACUCUUAAAAUUUAGAGAAUGGUGGGAUACCUCCUGAAAUCUAAGUUCUCAGAUACUAGUUAAGGUUCAAUUUUUCAAAAGAUCCAUUUAAAUUCAAUAGUAAGAGGCUUGAUUAACUCUUCUCUGUAUACCAGGUUUGUCUUAGAAUAAUUGUCUUCUUUCUCCACAUUUGAGGGAGAAGGUAUUAUAAUUAAAUUUAAAUGAACUGAUUUAAGCCCCUAGUAUAUUCAAUUAACUUUGGUAUCUUAAAAUUUGGUGGCUAAACAUGAUUUCUCAUUUCAAGCCCAUGUGCUUGUAAAAGAAAAUGAUUCAGUAAUAGUAUCUCCCUAUAGUUUGGUAAUAUGUAUAAUUAAAAAUCUCAGGUAAAAGCUAGGCUUAUUUAAUUAGAUUUUAAUGUGUUGCUAAAAAAAAAUUGUUUCCAAGAACCAAGGAACUUCAGUAUUCAGAAUUGUCUAUGUCCUAGCACUUCUAUUGUUUCAAAUUUUCUUUUCUCUUAAUCAAGAACGUAAGAAUUAAGUAUGAGCAAUAUUAUGGUUACCAUUUACAUAUUUAUUCAGUGUUAGGAAGCAAAUAAUUUGUCUUUUAUGAAGAUGAGACAAGGAUGACUUCUGUUCCAAAAGACAGCCAAGAGAAAUCACAUAUAAGAAUGCCCAAUCAACAAGAAACAAAGACUAAGGAUUCAUUAAAGUGAUUGUUAUUAUCUUAGGAAGCAAAAGUAAUUUGCAAAUUGAAUAUUGAGUAAUAAGAAAUUCAAAAGUAUAAUUUUCUGGAUUGUCUAAACCUUGAAAAAAAGUAGAAGGUGAAGUCAGGAGUUACAUUCUAUGGCCAUUCAGUUAACUGGAAUCCCAAUUCCUUCAGAGCCAUCAGAAGUGGUUAUGUUAGCUAGCCCUGUUGGCCACAGUCCAGUUCACCAUUAAUAAACCUAAGGGUGUCCUCGGGUCCCAUUGUCAACCUAUACUGAACCUUACUUAGCAUGUGCAUAUUUUGAUGGUAAAGGAGAUGUCUCAUGCCAUUUAAAUUUAUUUUCUUUCCAUUCUUAACAUAACAUUUUGCCAUUUCCUCUGGUAUAUUGCCACAGCAGAGAGCUCUGUCAUAUAUUGGGCAGUGAGUUAUAGGGACUUGUUCUACCCCUUUGGAGAGCCACAUUGUGGCCCUGGAAGUAAUUGGUGUCUGGAAAAGAUGUUUGGCCUGCAACACUAAAUUUUAUGGAUGGCAGCUCUUAGCUUCCUCAUGGUCAGGAGACUGUAUUCAAGAGGGCUUUUAAUUAUUAACAUUUUCAUUAUUCAACUUCCAGUGUUUUCUCAGCAAUAUGAAUAUGUUCAAAUGCACAUUUUAACAAUUUCCUUUGGGUAUGCCUAACACAUUAGGUUGUGUGUAUUCAGCAACUUUGGAAACUUUAAAUGAACCCAAAAUCGAAUUUUUAAGACCUGGUAUGUUGAGAACCUUGAAUUCAUCUAUGAUUUUGUUUUCCAUAGAGGGUAGGAUCAUUCUAGCUUCCUGGCUUUUUAUCAAUCCUCCUUGAAACAAAAGGUUCAGCUAUUAAUGAAAUGUUAUGAAUUUGGCAAGAAGUAAUCUGGAAUGUCAUAAUUUCCUACCUAAAUACUUCUUAAUCCAUUUACAUUUUUUAUUAAGUACAAUUUAUAUGCAAUGAAAUAUAUAAAUAUUAAAUAUACAUCCUGGUGAAUUUUGAGAUAUUUAUAUAUUCAUAUACUAACUACCCUAUUUCUUGACAUUUGUCAAAAAAGAUUAGUUUUGCCUCUUAUUGAACUUCAUAUAAAUGGGAUUUUAUGGUUAUACUCUUUGUGUCUAGCUUCUAUCUUCCAAAAUGUAUUUUUUAAAAUAUUUAUUCAUAUCGGUGUAUAGAUCAUCAGUUUGUUCUUUUAAAAAAAUGUUUUUUAGUUGUUAAUGUACCUUUAUUAUUUAUUUAUUUAUAUGUGGUGCUGAGGAUUGAACCCAGGGCCUCAUACAUGCUGGGCAAGCACUUUAACAUUGAGCCACAAUCCCAGCCCCCAGUUUCUUCUUUCCAUUAUAAUAUAGUAUUCAAUUUUAUGAACAUACCAUAAUUUAUUUAUUCACACUCUUAUUGAUUGAUGAACAUUUGUGUUGUUUCUAGUUUGGAGAUAUUAAAAGUAAAGCUGUUGAGUACUUUCUUAUGCUAAUUAUUUUUGUGAACAUAUGCACUGAUUUCUCCUGGGUGUAGAAUUUCUCUUAGGAAUAGAAUUUAUUAAGUCAUAGUUAGGCAAAUGUUCAUUUUCUAUUGCCCAUCAACUUUCCAAAAUGAGGUACUGUUUUGCUCUUCUACCAGCAAUAUAUGGAAGUCUCAUUUUUUCUGCAUUUUCACCAACAUUUGGUGUUUGUAGUCCUUUUGAUUUGGGUCAUUCUGGUGAAUGUGUAGUAGUAUCCUACCAUGGUCUAAGUUUAUAUUUCUCUGAUAAGUAGUGAUAUUAUUUACCUUUUAAUAUGAUUAUUAAAUAUUUGUAUGUCGUCUUAUGCCAAUUUGUUUUUUCUUAUUUAUUUUUGGAGGUACUUUAUAAAUUCUAGACAUAAGACUUGUAUUAGAUGUAUGUUUCAUAAAGUGAAUAUUUCCUCUCUGACUACAACUUACAUUUUUAUUUUCUGUUUACUUUUAAUACAAUGCUAACCCCAAAGGCUUCUGAAUGUGUUGUGUUUUCAAUGUGUGUGCCUUGAAGAAAACAUGUUACCGAGAGAUAUUGGGGAAUAAGAAUAAGAGAUGGUGGAGCAAUGGAAUUAGGUGGGAGAAAAGAGGAUAGGCAGAUAACAGAGGAAAGCAAUGAAAAACAGAAGAGAGUACAGUAUACAGGGUGGAGAAGAAAAAAGAAAGCAGAAAGUGGAUCCAGUUUAAAAAGGAGAAAGCAAAUAACAAGUAUGAUACUUUUCUCAAAGGGCAGCUUUACCUGGACAUAGGUCCCUUGGUUAUACAGUGUUGGAGAAUAGGACAUCCAGGCACUAAGGGUACAGGCUAUGAGAAGUUGAGAGUGAAAUGACAGCAUGUGUGUGGGGGUGGCUGACAGCGGGCAGUAAGUGGGGGCUCUGGGUGGAGACGGUGUGAACCUGAGUCCUGUCUCACCAUUUCACCAUUUACAAGCCAUAUCACUUUGAAAAGUUACUUAAUCACUCCUAAUUUUACAAGGGCGAGAGUAGGAAUAACAGGGUACCUACCUACCUCCUGAGUUUGCUGUAAAGACAAAAUACUCAGUAUUGUUGCUGGCAUCUUGCAAGUGCUUCAUACAUAAGAGCAGCAACAGCUACUGCUGCGCUGGUAUUGGAGAAGUAUUGGAACAAAUUGUGAUUAUCAUUAUUGAUGUUGUUUGUUUCCUAUUGGAAUCACAUUUUAAAAUCCCCUACUAAUAACUUGUGGGUUGGAAAUAGAUGUUCUAGCAAAUACAGGAGUCAGUCGAAUUAUUUUUUUUCUGAUGCAGAAAUUCACAGUUAUUACGGACAUGUCAUAUUGUGGCAAAAAGUCUUCAUUUUGCUUUUGGCACUUGUCAUUGACAUGUUCUGCUUCCAAGUCCUAUUCAGUCAUGUUUGGAAUGACAGUGGAGGCCCUUCUUACUUCCAUGUCACUUCUGAAAGUAAAUGCUUCCUGACUUCUAAAUUUUUUUUUCCUGCCCAGAGGAGGAAUUAGGAGCUCCUUCUGGCCCUGACUCAGCUGCUGGCUUAAGCUUCCUGGGUAGUCUGUGUACCGCCGGGUACUCUAAGGAGGGCUUAGUUUACCACACAGGUGACAAUCACUGCCUGCACAGGAGAAAAGGCACAGAGGAAGAGGAAAAGGAGGUGGUACUCUGUCUGUCUAGUUUUGUUUCAUGGCUGCGUCAGCUUUCAUAAAAGGAAGGCCAAGGAGAAAGAUGUUCCCUUGUGGCAGGAUGACACACCUCUGAAUGGAUGUAUAUUCAGGGGUAUGUGUGGGAGGAUGAUAUUACAAGCACUUUCUCAUCACUGGUGUCCCAUUACCUGUCUGGAGAAGUACACUGGGUACAUUUAUAUCACCAUGUCCUAUAAAGAAAAGAAAACAAAGAAUUUAAAGGAGGAAAAUGUAACUCUCGGGGAUAAAUUUAACUACUCAGCAGAGUGGGACAGAUAUAGUCAUAUAAGACUUCAUUUUACAAGGAUCUUCUUGACAUACUUCCUUGAACUGUGUGUCAUUCACAGGGGGGCUGGCCCCAGAUGCCAGUUAGACAUUCGAUUCUUUGAUCAACCAUUUAUCACCUAGCCUUCUUGAGGACAAACAGUAUUCUAGAGUGAACAUAAAAAAGAAAAACGAAAAAGAAAACAGUUAGUUUUUUGUUACUAAAUUGAAAUCGAAACAAAAAAAAAAGAAAGAAAAGAAAGAAAGAAACAAUUGUGUUCCAAGCAGACACAUCUGAUGUAUCAAAUUUGUUCUAACUUGAGAAGGUAUUAAUAGUGGACGUUUCAUAUUUGAGGUAUUCUGGUCAUAAGGACUUAUGAAGCUAAAGGGUUAUAUUUCCCAGUCUCUCUAUUCCACAACUUUAUAUUGGGUAUGUGCUCAACUUUCAAGAGACUUAUCUAAUAAGUUAUAUGGGAAAUCUAUAACCUACUAGAUAAAGCUUUCCAAGAUUGAAAAUAAGAUAUAUAAUCAUGAUUGUGAUAGAUUCUUUAGAAAUACAGAAUUCUUGAGCUUGAUAUGGUUCUAAACAUAAUCAAUGCAAAGAAAUGGAGAGGUGAUACUUUUCAUAAUCUUGAAGAAAUAGGCUAUAUGUGUUUAAAUGCUAAGUAUCAGCAUAGUAUUUGUCUGAACUUCUCAGGAUACUCACAGACUAUCCCAGCCUUUUUGUUUUAAAGCAAUGAUUCUGAUUUAAUUAAAUCUAGUCUUAUUUGGACUUUAAAUUUGUGAUUUUCAAGAUUAAAAUUAGACUCUAAAAGUAAUGGCACACUUCACACUGGCUAUAUAAUAUCCUGAUGAAAAACAUUGUACUUCCAGAAUAAGUAGCAAUUCCUGAAUUGCAUCUAAAAUAAACAAUGAAAAUAUGUAUACUGCUUUUUCUCAGGCAUUAAAGAAAUUUGAAAAAAUGACUAUUUUCACUAUGUUCUCAAUGUACAAACUCAUACAAUAAUUAUUAAACUCCAAUUACUUUUUUCAUAUUGUGAUUCUUUUUUACUCCUGUAGUACUUUCUGGCAUCCUUAUUAAGGAUACACUGAAGAAUGAUGCAUCACAAUAUUUUAUUGUAUAUCUGUGUCAGUAUUGUACCUUGUACCAAGGGAAGAGUCUGUUCUUAUAAAUCAAAGUUCUCUAUUUUACCAGGUUCUCAUGGUCCUAAAAAGAGUAGCCAUUUGUGCAUUUACAACAUCAGAGCAUCUGGUCUCCAUUUCCAAUCCUUUGUUGUGCCAGCUUGACUUGUUAUAAUAGGUUGGUUGGGUGUCCCACAUUUUCUAACAAUGAGCCCAUUUAUUUCACUUUGAAAAGUCAGGACACAGUAAUAUAUCCAGCACAGGACAGAGCUGAGAAAAGCACUUUCCCUUAUUUAUUUCCAUCAUAGAAUAAAAAUCCUUUGGUUUCUCAGUUUCUUUGCCAUAAACACUAACUUGCUUGACUAUCCUUAUAUAAUGCAAAACUAUGUGAAAUUAAUCACUGACCACUUUGGGAGGAGUUUAAAAUUCUUUACCACAGCAUUAUUUCAUUUUAUAAUACCCUGUUAUGAAGAAAGUGAGUAAAAGCAUUCUGCAGGAUUGUAUUUAUUAAAUCAUUAUGUGCUCAUAAACAUAUAUAAUCACUCAAAUAAUAUUGAGCAAAGUUCAUCACUAUGAAAAAUCUAAAAUGAGAAAAAUAUGUUCAAGUAAAAUUUAUGAAAGGAUGAAGUGAUAAAAAUCUUAUUUCUCUACAAAUAUAUACUACAUAAGAGCAAUGAGACUUUUUUAAAAAAAUUCAUAAAUAGAAUAGAAACCAUAAGAAAAUUAUAUUACCUCCUAUAUUAUAUACACUUUUACCCUGAAGUGUUUAGUUGAUUAUAUAAUUCUUUAUAACAAUUUAUUAAUUACAUGUCUAUCAUACUUAUUUCUCUCAUUCAUUUGAAAUCUUCCCUUUAUUGGAAAGGAAGUAGUUGGAGUCAGGUAUUUUUAGAUGUAUUCCAAAUCUGUGGAAUUCAAUCAAAAUAAGUGUCAUUUAGUUAGUUCAUUUAAUAUCAUUAGGUAACAUUCUGGAUGAUAGAUUUACUUUAUUCGAUGGAUUAUUAUCAUUUAUGCCAAAGUUAAUGUUUCUGAGGCUGGGAAAAAUGGCACCUUGGUCCACAUUUCCAAAUGAAUCUCAAUCUCAGGAUGUCCUGACUUUUACCAUGAUGUGAUUCCUAAAACAAUUAUGACUAAUAUUAACUAUCAUCACACAGAGAGACAUACCCUGUUGUCUAAAACUGUGCAUAAAAAUAAAGACUUUAGAAUACAUAAAGAAUUUACCAUAUACAAAUAAGAUUUAGGAUGUUGAAUUUAUUCCAUAUGCCUAUACAACACCAUUGACUUUUUGUGACUUUUCCAUCUUUUGGUAAUACAUUUCAUAUUUGUACUCUCUUUGUUUCUCCACUGUUGAUUCUGUGUCCUUGUGAACAUGUGACUAUUGCCAGGCAUGUUUAUACAUAUCUGUAAUCCCAGCAACUUGGGAGACUGAGGCAGGAGAAUCUUAAGUUUGAGGCCAGCCUCAACAACAUAGCUAGACUCUGACUCAAAAUAUAAUAAUAAUAAUAAUAAUAAUGGCCUGGGGAUGUGCCUCAGUGGUAGAGCACCCCUAGAGUUCAAUCCUUAAUACAAUGCACACACAUAAAAAAGUGACUACAGCUUUCUUAUUUCUAUGUUAUUUAAUUCAUAUUGAUGUCAUUUCUUGAAGCCACAUAUCUAUAUAUAUAUAUUGCAUACAGUGAAAAAGGAACAACAGACUACAUGCAAGUAAUACUGAUAUGACUACCCCUUCAGUCAUAUAUGACAUAGAUUAAUGCAUUCACUUUAUAUUCAUCCAACAAAUAGUGUUUGCUGAGACACUGAGGACAAAAGAUUCAACACAACAAACAUUGCUUUUCCUUCACAGAGUACAGAACCAAAUAGGGCACACACAGGAAAAUGGAUAACAACAAUCUUUUUUUCACAUUUUAUGUACAAUUGUGAUUGAGGAAAUCUGGAGCAAUGUGGGAUACCAUAGAGAAGAAAUUAACCUGGGCUUGUGAAGAACUGACAUCUUAGUUGAUUCCUAAAAGAAGACAAUAAAGGCAGAGAAAACAACAGAGACAAAGUCUAGGGAUGAUUAAGCAGUGUCUGUAUUUACAAAUAAAAACCAUUACCAUGACUAGACCAGUAAGUCAUAUGUGAAGUACAAUUGAUAAUAGUUGCCAUUGAUUUUUCAUAUAACCAAAUAUGUGAAGUUUUAGAAUAAUUUCGAAUAGUGCUAAGCAGCCUUGGUAUAAGCACUGAGAGGGUGAACAGUGAGGUUGGUACCAAACUGGAAAACAAGAACAAUGUAAGAAAAACAGGACAAGGUAGUUGAGGGUGUUUGCCAGAGAGUGAAGGAAGUGAUGAUUUGAGUUAAGUAAUUAGGUGGAUGUGGAAAUGAGUGAUUAUAAGAAGGCACUGACAUAGAAAAGGUUCAGGGUCUCUAGAGGUCUCCAGGAUAUCCAACAAGUGAAAUUAGAAUAAUUGAAAAAGCCAAAGAGAUAGAAGGUUGUUUGGAGGAUAGAAUGUUUGAACCUUAACCUUUAAGUGCUAGAGGUAACAUAAGGUAUUUUAAAAGAUGGAGGAGGAUACCAGGAAAGAGGGAGACUGCUGUGGAAAAGAAAUAGUCAAGGAACUGAGAGAUUUGUGCAUGAAGUGAUUCCUCCAUAUAAACAUCAAGGUCACCCAGGAUAGCAGCAGGACUCAAGAUGCGGACGUGCUAGAAAGUGGGCUAAUGUCAAUGAAUGAAGCGCAGUAAUGAGGGGGAUUGGCACAAGUCAGAGAUGAAGUUGAUUGGCAUAGAGGUUUAAGAGGAGGUUUCCACAAGAGGGUAGAGAAGGAAUAAUGACUCAGUCAAUGUGAGUAAUCAGGAGUACACUCACCCCCGCAGCAGGCGGACCCAGAGUAACCUCUCCUUGAGACUCCCUGGGAAAGGGCAUCCUCAAGUAUAAGAAGUCAGGAUGUAAGGUGACUCUGAUAGAAAGGCUGAGAGUGAAGGGAAGUCUGUUCACCAAGUGAUUUGGGAAGAACAAGAGUUGAAUAUGGAGAAGAAAAUCAUAGAACAAAAUGGAGGCAAGAAACUGAAAGAAAACAGAGAAAAAGAGCUUCUGUCCAAGAUGGUUCUCCAAGAUGAUUAUGAGAGCUGAAUUCUCAGAUAUUUUUAAGAAUGGUUCGAUACUCAUUCAGAGAGGAUAAGUUGAGCAUCACUAAAGUCUUUCAGAAAGGCCAUGGAGGUAGAAGCAUCACAGCCUCAGAUACUUAGCAAGGCCCUAAGCAAGUUAGAAAGACUCUGUCUGAAAAUAAAAAGAAAAGGGGGGGGGGCGGAGUGCGGAUGUAGCUCAGAGGUAAAAUGCCUCUGGGUUAAAUCCUCAGUACCAAAAGACAAAAAUAAAAACAACAAAAAAACAACUAUGGAGGUUGUCCUAAUCCAAAUAAAUAGGUCCAUGAUGGUAUUCUUUGGUAGGUUCCUUAGUACUUUGAGCAUCUAGUGGAAACAGCAGCAGCUUCUGGUAUCUGGGGACUUUUGCAUCUUUCAAAUUACUUAGCUAUUUCCUAGAUUUAUUUUAGGAUAUGGAAUAUGAAGAAUGAUCUGAUUUUUUUAAAAAAGAUGUGCAUUAUCAUUUUCAGCCAAGUAUUAUUUGUUUUGAACAUUUUUAUAUCUAGCUCUAAUUAUUUUGCCAGUUAUCGUAACAACUUAAGUGUUCCAAGUUAGCAUUUAAGUUUUCUUUGGAGAAUUUCCUUUCUCAUAAAUGAUCAUUGAAUUAAACUACUGCUUCCUUAAAUAUUCUUAAAUACUAUUUCUGGGAUUCAAGCAUUAUUUUAGUUUAUCACUGCAAAUUUUGGCAAUAAAAUCAAGAAUGAAAAUGAAUUCUAGGUAGAAAAUUUCUAUUUGUUGAAAACAUUCUUUAGUAAACUGGGUUAUGAUUGUGACCUCAGGAAAACAGUAGGGAGGCACGUGCUUGUGGUUUCCCCUUAGCUUGGAUGCACCAUAAUAUUUUCAGACUUUAAUUUAUAGCACCCUGUGAUCUGCUGAUUUUUACUGAAGACUAUCUCACAGAAUUGCAUGGUUGAGACCUGGGGCUAAAACCUAGCUUUGAUGUUUAGGCAAGCACAGUUUUUAUUUUGGUCUCUUCUGUGACCUUGUUGGAGGUUUUUUAAAUUUUUAAUCCAUACCCCUGAAAUAGUACUUGUGACCAGGAUUUAUCCAUAGUAAAGUGUAUCACAUUUAUAAAUACCCUUGUAUUUAUGUUGAUUUAUACCUUGUUCAAAGAGUAUUAAUUAUGUUCCACAGAGACCUAAGGAGAAGAGGGCUCCAUUUGUCUUAGGAAGAAAUGUGAAGGUGAAUUAAUUUUUCAGAAGGUUACUACAACAAAUAAAAAACAGAACCCAUGUCUUCUUAUUUAGGUUUAUAAACUCUGGUAUGUGUAUCCAUAUAAUUAUAUCCCAUCUCUGUAUGAUAUAUCAAAGUACAUAAAUGCAUUCUAGUGUCAUGUAUAAUUAAUUAAAACAUUAAAGAUUUUAAAAAUUGCAUUAAAAUCACAUUUGUGAUUUACUUGCAGUUAUAUUCAUCUAAGUAUCUACUUAGUCUUAAUAUGUCAUGGACAGCGUUUGAGGUGAUGGGAGCAUGUUACAAUAGAUAAAAAAUAAAUAAAAUCAUGAUAUUUUAGUGCUCACAUGCAAUCCAAUAGGAAAAACAUGAGAUGAGUGCUAAUAUCUUUGUUUCCAUAGGAUUUCUCUCUAAGUCAAAGACAUCCUUUGCUGUUGGCAAAACAGUGAAUAGAUGAUAGUGAAGACUCACACUCACAUUCAGGAACAUGGAUUAUUAAGGUGAUCAUUAGGCUAAUGCUUUGGUAACAUGGAACUAUUUAGAACCAAUCUGAAUGAAAAGCAAAAUACAUACAUAUAUCCAUUUUAAGGUUACAGUCCAGGAAAAUGUUUGCCUGUAUGUGUCUAAGAACUGAAAAGUAAGAUGAAAAUUAUUUGAAUUUUUUGGAUAACAGGAUUGGGGGUUUUUACUCUUUCAUUUCUAUUAAUGAAAAUAUGUGUUUAUCCAAAUCAAUAAACUACCACUAUGGAAAGAGAUUGCUCAGAAAAUUGGAAUGGAACCAUCAUUUGACCUAGUUAUCCCAUUCCUCGGUUUAUACCCAAAGGACUUAAAAUCAGCAUAGCACAGUGAUACAGCCACGUCAAUAUUUACAGCAGUUCAAUUCCCAAUAACUAAGCUAUGGAACCCACCCAGGUGUCCUUCAAUAGAUGAAUGGAUAAAGAAAAUGUGAUAUAUAUAUAUAUAUAUA